rnacentral:rRNA from 1 species
AUUGAACGCUGGCGGCAGGCCUAACACAUGCAAGUCGAGCGGAUGAAGGGAGCUUGCUCCUGGAUUCAGCGGCGGACGGGUGAGUAAUGCCUAGGAAUCUGCCUGGUAGUGGGGGAUAACGUCCGGAAACGGGCGCUAAUACCGCAUACGUCCUGAGGGAGGAAGGUGGGGGUUCUUGGAACUUCACGCUAUCGGUUGAGCCUAGGUCGGAUUAGCUAGUUGGUGGGGUAAAGGCCUACCAAGGCGACGAUCCGUAACUGGUCUGAGAGGAUGAUCAGUCACACUGGAACUGAGACACGGUCCAGACUCCUACGGGAGGCAGCAGUGGGGAAUAUUGGACAAUGGGCGAAAGCCUGAUCCAGCCAUGCCGCGUGUGUGAAGAAGGUCUUCGGAUUGUAAAGCACUUUAAGUUGGGAGGAAGGGCAGUAAGUUAAUACCUUGCUGUUUUGACGUUACCAACAGAAUAAGCACCGGCUAACUUCGUG